rnacentral:snRNA from 1 species
AUACUCUGGUCUCUCUUCACAUUUUAGAAAUCUUUUGUAUUUUACUAAAAAUUUCCGUGGAGAUGAGAAAAUCUUAAACCAAUUUUUUGAGGCCUUGUUUUAGCAAGGCA